GAGAAGGGGGUCGGAGAACAGGGGGUACGGGGGAGGGGCGCCCCCUCUUCCUGCGGCGCAGCUGGAGCAGGAUCUAAGGGGUCAGCAUCGUCCCGGCUCCGCGCCAGCGGCGGCGGGGGGAGGGGAAGAGGGAUCUCUUUGGGGGUGGGUUUGAAGGGGGUGGGGGGCGGCUCCUUCCUCCGCCCCGCGGCGGGCUCCCGGUCCGGGAGGGGCGGGGAGACGGUGGGGGGCCGUCCCGGGCGGGGGUGGAGGCGGAGAUGCCGCCGCCGCAGCCGCCGCGGUGGCUGCCGCUGCCGUAGCUGUCGCCGGCGCCACUGCCUCCUCCUCCGGCCGAGACGCGGAGCGAGCGAGCGAAAGCGGCCGCGAGGAGCCCGGCGCACACCACAGCUGGAUCCCUCACUCCAACUUCAAGCCUCGGCCCCGCCUCUCCCCAGCCAGCCUCGCAGCCAAUCGCUGCGCGCCGCCGGCCCCGAGCCCCGCGCCCAUUGGCGGGCCGCCGUGGCAGUGCGGGCGGGGGCGCCGGGGGAGAGAACCACAGCUGGAAUCCGGUUCCCACCCUGAAGCCCAGGACCGCCCCUCUCCCCUCCCCUUGCCCCUGGGUCCGCUCCCGAAGGCCAGAGCCAAUUAGACGGCUACCCAGACCGAACCCAUUUUCCUAUUGGCCGCUGGGGUCUCUGGGACUCCCCUGGAGGGAGCCCCGGGGAAUCAGAGUAUUCGGCGCCGGGUCCCGGGAUAGCGCUGCGGGCCCCGGGGCACCCUUUGUCCAAGACCCCUGAAUUGGACCGCAGCCGGAGGGCGGGGCCCAGCUCUGGGCGGGCCUGGGCAGAAGAGAGGCUGGCGGCCGGGGCUGUGGGUGGUGACCAGGGUCCCCAGAGCGAAACCCUGGGUGUCCACCGGGUUAAUCGCCUACCCUGGAGUCGAGCCCGGGAGCGCGACUGAAGAAGGGGAGGAGCGGAGUAGGAUGUCCCGGGGAUAGGGGCUUCAGGCUGGAGGGGGACGGUCUUGGAGAAACAGGCGGAGCCUAGGAAAGUCCGGGGCAAGCAAGGUCUGGGCGUGGUUUCCACCAACCUCCUCAUAGAUCCCUCUCCCAGGUCCACUUCUGCGACGUUGACCCUGACCUUGUAACGCUAAGCCGCCGACCCUGACCUCAGGUGAACACUCCUGAGCUUCCUCCUCUCUGCCCCUAGAGAUCCUUUGGAGGCCGUGGAUCUCUCGCAGGGGCUUCGAGCUCGAACACGUGGCCCCAAACAGGUCAAGCCAGUCCCAGAGCCCAGGUCCCCAAGAUCAGCUGAGGAGCAGAGAGAAGCUCCCUCGAAGGGACCUGCGGUGGCCUCGGUUUUUCCCUCUCGAGUUCCAGUACGGCUGGGAAGGCAGCCGCAGGACAGGAGCUUCUCGUGGCUGCUCUCGCACACCUCUGCUACCGGGGGAGCGGGUCCUCGAGUGUCUGCAGCUCUCCACUCGCGCACACGCUCGUGUGCCCCGGGAACCUCGCCCCGCCCCACCUUCGCGAGUCCCCGGGCUCAGUCAGCUCCUGCUCCCUCUCACCGCCAGCGCCGCCCCAAAAGGCUGUAGGUGCCCGGGUGCAGAGCGCCGCGGGAGCGCUGGGCGCUGGAGCGAGGUGGGGCGGAGAGGGCGUCGAGCAUUAGACGUCCGGAAAGCACUUCCCCACCUCUGGGAAGGUGGACACGGCGGCAGGACCAAGAAGCUGUGCCUGCACCUCCUGGAGGAAGAGGAAGGUUCAGCAGUUUUUACUGUACCCUGAAGGCCCCAGAAAGAACCAGAUGUGAUGAGUGGGCACAGGUCCGUCUGUUACCCUCCCUGGGCCUUGACUAUCUAACCAUCGAAGGCCAAAGGUACCUGCCUCACUGCCUCAUUCGUAUGGGUCAAUGAGACGGACGCAGAGGGUUUUGCAAACUGCCCAGACUUUCCAGAGCCAGGGCUGGGGCUGCCAAAAAGGCCACCUGUGCUUCACCACACUCCAUCCUCCCUCCUCACUGCCCCCCACCCCCGACCCGGCUCCACUGGCCCAGUCCUCAGACUUCCUGGCCAACACUGAGCAGGUUCUAGCCAGAAAAGGGCCAGCUGACCUUGUUGGCCAGAGCCCUAAUCCCCUCCAGAUGGGCCGAGGUGGCUUGCACCACCAAAAGCUGCCCAGCCAAAGCUGACCCUGGUCCCACUGAGCAUGUGUGGCUGUGUGUGACCAUGUGCAGACCUUGCAGUGACAGUCCGGUCUCCCACUCCUCCCCACUGCUGACAUCCGCACAAACAGUGGUCCCACUCCAGUCUCACCUCCAACAGCCUCUUCUGGCUGUCUGUACUGGGUGGCUCUGGGGCUGCGACAGUGCCCAGGCUCGGCAGACCCCUGAAGGGUGUGGGGAGGGAGAAGCUCCUCCCACCCCCCCACCCCCCUACCCCCGCCUGUCAGCU